GAUGAACGCUGGCGGCGUGCCUAAUACAUGCAAGUCGAGCGAACGGACGAGAAGCUUGCUUCUCUGAUGUUAGCGGCGGACGGGUGAGUAACACGUGGAUAACCUACCUAUAAGACUGGGAUAACUUCGGGAAACCGGAGCUAAUACCGGAUAAUAUUUUGAACCGCAUGGUUCAAAAGUGAAAGACGGUCUUGCUGUCACUUAUAGAUGGAUCCGCGCUGCAUUAGCUAGUUGGUAAGGUAACGGCUUACCAAGGCAACGAUGCAUAGCCGACCUGAGAGGGUGAUCGGCCACACUGGAACUGAGACACGGUCCAGACUCCUACGGGAGGCAGCGGUAGGGAAUCUUCCGUAAUGGGCGAAAGCCUGACGGAGCAACGCCGCGUGAGUGAUGAAGGUCUUCGGAUCGUAAAACUCUGUUAUUAGGGAAGAACAUAUGUGUAAGUAACUGUGCACAUCUUGACGGUACCUAAUCAGAAAGCCACGGCUAACUACGUG
rnacentral:rRNA from 1 species